ACCCGCUGAACUUAAGCAUAUCAAUAAGCGGAGGAAAAGAAACCAACAGGGAUUGCCCUAGUAACGGCGAGUGAAGCGGCAACAGCUCAAAUUUGAAAUCUGGCGUCUUUGGCGUCCGAGUUGUAAUUUGCAGAGGGCGCUUUGGCAUUGGCAGCGGUCCAAGUUCCUUGGAACAGGACGUCACAGAGGGUGAGAAUCCCGUACGUGGUCGCUAGCCUUUACCGUGUAAAGCCCCUUCGACGAGUCGAGUUGUUUGGGAAUGCAGCUCUAAAUGGGAGGUAAAUUUCUUCUAAAGCUAAAUACUGGCCAGAGACCGAUAGCGCACAAGUAGAGUGAUCGAAAGAUGAAAAGCACUUUGGAAAGAGAGUUAAAAAGCACGUGAAAUUGUUGAAAGGGAAGCGCUUGCAGCCAGACUUGCCUGUAGUUGCUCAUCCGGGUUUUUACCCGGUGCACUCUUCUAUAGGCAGGCCAGCAUCAGUUUGGGCGGUUGGAUAAAGGUCUCCGUCAUGUACCUCUCUUCGGGGAGAACUUAUAGGGGAGACGACAUGCAACCAGCCCGGACUGAGGUCCGCGCAUCUGCUAGGAUGCUGGCGUAAUGGCUGU
rnacentral:rRNA from 1 species